UGGCUCAGGAUGAACGCUGGCGGCGCACAUAAGACAUGCAAGUCGAACGAACUUAACUUAUUCUUAACGAUUAAGAGCGGUUAGUGGCGGACUGGUGAGUAAUGUAUAAGUAACCUGCCUAUCAGAGGGGAACAACAGUUGGAAACGACUGCUAAUACCGCAUAUGCCAUAAGAAUCACAUGAUUCUAGUGGGAAAGGAGCAAUCCGCUGAUAGAUGGACUUAUAUCUGAUUAGUUAGUUGGGGGGGUAACCGGCCUACCAAGACUACGAUCAGUAGCCGGACUGAGAGGUUAAACGGCCACAUUGGGACUGAGAUUACGGCCCAGACUCCUACGGGAGGCAGCANGGGGAAUAA
rnacentral:rRNA from 1 species